rnacentral:lncRNA from 1 species
UUUGAAGUGAAACGAAAUUCCUAACAGAAGAUUAUUAUUGAUGAGCAAGUAGAACAAACAUACUAUCACAAAAAAAUUAAAAGAAGGUAAAAAGAAACAGGGGGACUUAGCUUAAAGAACAGCACAACCCCAAAAAAAACCAUGACCUUUGCAUCUUAAGGGUUUCCGUUGAUUUCAAAUUUGAGAGGAUCUUUUGCCAUUUGAGAAAGGAUGAGCAAUCAUUUGAGAGAAGGAGGGUACCAGGUGUAAGAUUGGCUGGGAUUGGGAUGGAUUUGGGCUUCAAACAAGUUUUAGAUUUAAUUUUUUACAAGGACCGGUUGUAUUCGUGGGUUGUUGGUUAUGGAUUUGUAGAGAUGGAGGUGAGGGGGUUGCGUGGUGUUAGUUUCAAAGGAUUCCGGGGAAGUUAAGGAUUUGGUCGGAGCUUUGGACGAAUAUUUGAAGCAAUUAACUAAGGUUUGAAAUAAAUUGGGGCUGGAUCCCUUAUGGGGAUUGGGUGAGGGACUUAGGGUGUUAUUUUUCGGAGGGUUUCGGCGGUGGUGCCGCCAGGGUCGGCGUCCACAAAUUUCUAUAUUCGAGAAGUUUGGCUUAUAGCUAAAGUUUGGUUUUUAGGGCAUUGGAAAGAGGAGGGAGUGGUGGUUCAGGGGUGUAUUUUUGGGAGGCAUUGGAGAGUCGCCGCCAGUUGCGACGAUUUCUGGUUGGCGAAUGUGAGGCGGCGUAUCAGUGGAGACAAAGGUAUU